GGCAGUUAACUUUCGGGAGCCGGGCAUUAAAUUGCCGAGAAAUAAAAUUAUGAUUUCUGGUUUCUGAGGAAGGUCCGCCCACCCGCAGACAAGUUUUUUGUUUGUGACAAAGUCAUCUGCGAAAGCAGACUGCUGUGAAGCAAAGCACUGUUACAGAAACGACACAGCUUAUCUUAAGUUAUGAAGCAUGCGCUGAACUUUGAGAGAUGAGAUUUGAUGAAACGAGCAUCUUGACUGGUGCAAGUAGAAUUAUCUACGCAUAGUGGAAUGUUAACAAGUUCUGUCUGAUUACAGGGAACUACAGAAAGUGGCCUAUCC
rnacentral:RNase_P_RNA from 3 species